rnacentral:misc_RNA from 1 species
AAGUCUUUACAGAUGAACUUUAUUGCCUCUAGAUGAUCACCAAACCGCGGCCGCUCCAUGGUAUAGCGUUCAGCGAGCUGGUGGCCAACCUGAUAGCCAAUGGCCUCGAUCCGACGGCCAGCGAGCUCAGGUUUAUUGGCGUCGAAGCGAUUGCAGUACGAUGACACCAUCUCCGUGAGAAGGCUAUCGAUGCAACUCUCCGACACUUCUCUUCCCAUUUUCUCUCUCUCUCUCUCUCUCUUCCUUA